rnacentral:misc_RNA from 1 species
UUAAGUUCAGCGGGUAUCCCUACCUGAUCCGAGGUCAACCUUGAUUGAAAUUUUAACGGCAGCGGGCCACCCUCUCGCCAGCGAAUUUGAUGCCACAACGCUGAGAUACGGGUCGUCCAGCCGGUGAAAUUAAGGCGCGGGAGAGCCCCGCCGCCCAAUACCAAGCCGGGCUUGAGUGGUGUAAUGACGCUCGAACAGGC